AGGAAAUUCGCAAGGGCCUUUUGAAGGCGGCGAAAACGACUGGCGCAUGGAUUUUUACAGGCGGAACAAAUACAGGUGUUACAAAACAGGUGGGCGAUGCGUUGUUGCUCGAGGGUCAGCAGCGGAGUGGUCGUGUUGUUAGUAUUGGUAUUGCACCCUGGGGCAUAGUGGAGCGUAAUCACGAACUUUUGGGACAUAAUCGUGAGGUGCCCUGUCAUAGCAUAAGUUCGCCAAGGUCAAAAUUAGCAGUGUUGAAUAAUCGUCAUGCUUACUUCCUGCUGGUCGAUAAUGGUACACAAGCGAAAUAUGGCGCUGAGUUGAUAUUGCGACGAAAAUUGGAAAAAUUCAUAUCGAACUUAAAACUGCAUC